CCUACGGGAGGCAGCAGUGGGGAAUAUUGCACAAUGGGGGAAACCCUGAUGCAGCGACGCCGCGUGAGCGAUGAAGUAUUUCGGUAUGUAAAGCUCUAUCAGCAGGGAAGAAAAUGACGGUACCUGACUAAGAAGCACCGUCUAACUACGUGCCAGCAGCCGCGGUAAUAUGGAGGGGGCAAGCGUUAUCCGGAUUUACUGGGUGUAAAGGGAGCGUAGACGGCUGUGCAAGCCAGAUGUGAAAGCCCGGAGCUUAACCCCGGGAGUGCAUUUGGAACUGUGUGGCUGGAGUGUCGGAGAGGCAGGCGGAAUGUCUGGUGUAGCGGUGAAAUGCGUAGAGAUUAGACAGAACACCGGUGGCGAAGGCGGCCUGCUGGACGAUGACUGACGUUGAGGCUCGAAAGCGUGGGGAGCAAACAGGAUUAGAUACCCCUGUAGUC
rnacentral:rRNA from 1 species